rnacentral:rRNA from 1 species
AUUGAACGCUGGCGGCAGGCCUAACACAUGCAAGUCGGACGAGCGGCGGGCGGGUGAGGUAUGUCUAGGGUGCUGUCUGAUGGAGGAGGAUAGCUAGUGGAAACGGUAGAUAAUCUAGCAUAACGUUAGGGGCACACAUAUGGGAUUAGCUUGUAGGUAAGGUAACGGCUUACCUAGGCGACGAUCCCUAGCUGGUCUGAGAGGAUGAUCAGCCACACUGGGACUGAGACACGGCCCAGACUCCUACGGGAGGCAGCAGUGGGGAAUAUUGCGCAAUGGGCGCAAGCCUGAUGCAGCCAUGCCGCGUGUAUGAAGAAGGCCUUCGGGUUGUAAAGUACUUUCAGUCGGGAGGCGUUACCGACAGAAGAAGCACCGGCUAACUCCGUGCCAGCAGCCGCGGUAAUAC